UACGUAGGUGGCAAGCGUUGUCCGGAUUUACUGGGCGUAAAGGAUGCGUAGGCGGAUAUUUAAGUCAGAUGUGAAAUACCCGAGCUUAACUUGGGUGCUGCAUUUGAAACUGGAUAUCUAGAGUGUGGGAGAGGAAAGUGGAAUUCCUAGUGUAGCGGUGAAAUGCGUAGAGAUUAGGAAGAACACCAGUGGCGAAGGCGACUUUCUGGACCAUAACUGACGCUGAGGCAUGAAAGCGUGGGGAGCAAACAGGAUUAGAUACCCUGGUAGUCCACGCCGUAAACGAUGGGUACUAGGUGUAGGGGGUAUCGACUCCCUCUGUGCCGCAGUUAACACAAUAAGUACCCCGCCUGGGGAGUACGGUCGCAAGAUUAAA
rnacentral:rRNA from 1 species